CCUGGGAAACGGGGUUGGGACCGGGAAAAGAAGACCCUGUUGAGCAGGAU
rnacentral:rRNA from 1 species